rnacentral:lncRNA from 1 species
GCUGAUCUACGCUCAAUUCGCAUCAGUGUUAGAGAUUAAUAAAGCAUAAUAAGGCAAAUAAGUACUAAUAAUACUAACAUAGUAACACUACACUUUGACAAUCUUUUGCUACAUAUAUAUGUUGAUGUAACAUCCUGUUUUUUAAGCAUUUAAAAAUACGGAUUUUUCAAAAAUUUUCUUUGAAUUAAACACAUUUCUUUUCCCAAAAAAUUCAAAAUCAUUUUACAAAUAAAUAAUACAUAAAAUACUAGCACGUUUGUUGCAUUUGAUUGCUCAAGCUCUCUCUCUUUCUAAUAUUUUCUUCUCCUAAAUCCUAGAAGUAAUAUUUGAAUUUUAUUACAAUAUUAAUUACAAAUCCACGAAUCUACCUAUAACAAACCCUCUCGCUGUCAAAUUCUUAGAACCUCCGAAACCCUAGGAAUGAUAUUCUCGUAAUAAUCCUUUUUCCAAAAAUCCUGAAACUCAUAUUCCACUUGAAUAUGAAUAUUAAUUCUAAAUCAAACCUUUAACAGACCACUAUUCAAUCUUAGACAUGUCCAAACACCUUGAACCCCGAACCCUCCCAAAAUACUCCAUCUUUAUAUCUAGCUCAAGCCCACACUUCAAACCCCCUUCAAAUUUGAAAUCCAUUUCAAAUUUUAACCUAAAACCCCCUUAAAAUAAAUGGGAAACCAUUUAAACCUAACAUGGGCCACAACCUCCCUUUCAGCCCGCCCUCCCUCUCGGCCCGGCUCACCUCCGCCCUCUCCCGCGCCCGAGCCGGCCCAGCUCGUCUA